UGGCUGCCACCUCCUCCGCACGGCAGGGGGGCGCCUUCCUCAUGACACCUGUGCUGCCGUCACAAACAGCUGUUAGUCUUGCUGUCUUCUUUCACCUCCCAUCUGACUCAGAUUACCCCGCACGCAGAGUGCCCCGCACACGGUAUGUUAUUCCAAAGAUUCAGCCGAAUUAAGGACAGAGAGGAGAAAAAGCAGGCAGGGAAGAUUUUCUUAGAUUUCUGUAAUGACGAUGGAUUACCUUUGUAAGUGGAGGCAGAAAGUACCGAUCCUCUUCUAGAACAAACCAUGGUGCACAAACCUCUGACAUGCUUGAGUGAUUACAACUUAACAACGUUCUGCUGGUGUUUCCUGUGUGCCACCAGGCCAACCCCCAGGAAGGAUCUGGCCUCAUCACAUGGCUGCUCUCAUUCUAAGGAAGAAAAAGAGACCCAGAGAUGGUGAACGACUUUCCUCAAGCUCCAAACCAGUUGUACCAAGUCAGGGCUUGAAGUCAGCUCUUGCAACCUCCACCCAGUACCCUUUGCCCGGCUUCACUAUUUCUCUGAAUCUGAGGUGCUCGGUGUUAUUGACGUCAUGUUUACAUCUAGGCCUGCCCCAUUUACCCCCGGGGUUUCUCAGCUUCGACGCUAUGGAUAGUGGGGGCCAGAUAAUUCUUUGUGGAGGGGGGCUGCCCUCUGUAUUGUAGAAAGCUUAGUAGCACCUUUGGCCUCUCUCCUCUCUUUGCCAGUAGCACCCUGGUCCCACUCAUGUGACAAUAAAAAUGUCCCCAGAUAUUGCUGAAUGUCCCUUGGGGGGCACAG